rnacentral:lncRNA from 1 species
UAACAUCUAGGUUGUGUUGGGGAGGUUACAUUUUGAUGGGCGUCGAAACCACCAAAUAUAAUUCCUACAAAAUGACUCUAAUUAGUAGUAAGAUUGGUAGUAAGGUCGAGUCCACAAGGAUUGGGUGCUAUAAUCAACUUCUGUGUAUAGCUUAUGAUCAGAUUACUUGUCGAGUCAAAGGUCAUGGCAAUAGUCGUGCCCACGACUCCAAUCGUACCUACAAAAAUUAGAAAUAAAAGUAAAUCGGGGGUUUUUCUGAAAUGUUUAGAAACUAGAUAGUUGAAACAGCAUAAAUAAUUAAAUAAAUCAGAAAUUAAAUUGGGAUUUGCAAUCAAAUGUAAAUAACCUUAGCCUUAGACUUGGUAAAUUCCAUGGUGAGAAUCGAUCCUCGAAAAUUAAUCUUCUCCUCCAAUCGAUAAGCUGGUUAUAGCAGUUAAGAACGUCCUAACCACCAAUUCUUCCUCUAGUAUCUAGUUCUGGCACGUCUUGCAAACCAACCCUUACCGAUAGUCUAAUCGAGAUACACGUGUUCCUGAUUCAAGAUUUCAGCAGCCUUGCGUUCUGAAGAACCCAACUCGAAUUAACGGCCUCAACCGUGUAGAUCGUUUAAACCCGAUCACCUCUUCCUCGAUUUGUUCUCGGAGAUCCAAAUACAACACGGCCAAUUCGUUUCUCCAACUGUCAGAAAAUACGACUCCAACCCAACGAGCUCUUUUUGACUUGAAAUCGAAUUAUCCUUAAGGGAUGAGUUGUCAAUCCCGAUACUUAGGAAAAAGGUGAAUAUCGGUUGGAAGGAUUUUAGGCGUGAGUACGAAUCUCACAAUUCUCUACCGGAAAGAACACCGGCCUAAAGCUAAAAUAAAAUUUAGUUAAGCAUGAAAUUGUUCAUGCUUUGUGAACUUGGAAAGAAGAUUGAUGAUUAUGGCGAAGAAAUGAAUUGAGGGGACUUGGAG